AUUGAACGCUGGCGGCAUGCCUUACACAUGCAAGUCGAACGGCAGCACGGGGCAACCUGGUGGCGAGUGGCGAACGGGUGAGUAAUGCAUCGGAACGUACCUUUCAGUGGGGGAUAACGUAGCGAAAGUUACGCUAAUACCGCAUAUUCUGUGAGCAGGAAAGCAGGGGAUCGCAAGACCUUGCGCUGAUUGAGCGGCCGAUGUCAGAUUAGCUAGUUGGUGAGGUAAAGGCUCACCAAGGCGACGAUCUGUAGCGGGUCUGAGAGGAUGAUCCGCCACACUGGAACUGAGACACGGUCCAGACUCCUACGGGAGGCAGCAGUGGGGAAUCUUGGACAAUGGGGGCAACCCUGAUCCAGCCAUGCCGCGUGAGUGAAGAAGGCCCUCGGGUCGUAAAGCUCUUUAGGCUGGGAAGAAGGUUAUUGGAGGAAAUGCCAGUAAUUUGACUGUACCAGCAGAAUAAGCACCGGCAAACUCUGUGCCAGCCGCCGCCGUAACAC
rnacentral:rRNA from 1 species